rnacentral:rRNA from 1 species
UACGUAGGGUCCGAGCGUUUGUCCGGAAUUAUUGGGCGUAAAGGGCUCGUAGGCGGUUCGUCACGUCGGCUGUGAAAACUCGGGGCUCAACUCCGAGCCUGCAGUCGAUACGGGCAGACUAGAGUGCGGUAGGGGAGACUGGAAUUCCUGGUGUAGCGGUGAAAUGCGCAGAUAUCAGGAGGAACACCGGUGGCGAAGGCGGGUCUCUGGGCCGUAACUGACGCUGAGGAGCGAAAGCAUGGGGAGCGAACAGG